CCCAAACAAAGUUAGCGUGCUACAAUAUCGGACAGUAGAAACCAACCAGAAAGUUCGGAAAAUUGUCUGAAUCCUCCUUUGGCCACGACUGCCGACACAAGCAAGAAAACAAAGUAAAUACCGGAGACUCUGGAGGAAUAACGGGCGCUUAAAACGAAGGUAGACCGGACAAGAGCUAAAAGCCGGGUCAACAUAAACCAUGGGGGACGCUUGGGGAUCUUGGUGACCCUGUAACCUUUCUGCUGGACAGGUAAACCGCUUUAACAAAGUAAGACAAGUGUCUGUAACAGAAGUGUUUCUUGUCAAACGGACCUGCUGUAGCGUGUUGUAGCGCCAUCGCUAAACUGUCCUCCCUCGGGUCCUGGACUAUGUCACUUUAUCCUAGUUGUAGAAGUCCUGCAAACAUUGUGUUUGCUGGUAGUCUGUUGGCAUCUACAGUAGCACCAAUGCUUUUGACUUUCACCUUGACUGGGCCCCAUUUGUAAUGAUCUGAAGUAUUUAUCUGCAUUAUAUCUGAAUUUAAUUGGAACGAUACGAGCGAGCAGGAGCGUCUGUUUGUGGGCGGGGCUUGAGACAGAGAGAGAGAGAGAGUGUUUCUCUGUGUUGUGUCUUUAACUCUGUGUCUCUAAAACAGUUGAAGUGUGUUUCUGCUCGAUGAGGUUUCUAUGAGGUGAAUAAAUGUUGGUUCAGUUGAUCUUCAGGACGGCUGCAGCUUUAAGAACUUCUGCUUGUUGGAGUUUGAGAGUCUAAAGUUCACAGAGACGCUCCUCUUCCUGGAUUGUAGGUAAACUGGUUCCCCCCCCCUCCCUCGUCUCUCUCAGCUCACUCCACUCUGCACUCUCACUUCCUUGUUUCCUCCCCUUCCUUCCUCCCUCCCCCUCAGUUCUACAGUCUUGGUUGGGUGUAACCGUCGUGUGCUGAGGUCAUAUCCUGCUGACGCACAUGUUGUUGAGAUCAGAGCUCAGACUAGUUUCACUUCUCAGGAAAUAAAACUCAGUCAGUCGUCGUCGACAGCGAGUGUUGAAAUGGCGCAGAAAGGAGUUCAUCUGGACCGUGAGUCUUUCUCUUGUUCCAUCUGUUUGGAUCUUCUGAAGGAUCCGGUGACUGUCACCUGUGGACACAGCUUCUGCAUGAGCUGUAUUCAAUCCUACUGGGAUACUGAGGAUGAGAAGAAGAUCUACAGCUGUCCUCAGUGCAGAGAGACCUUCAGACCGAGGCCUGUCCUGAAGAAAAACACCAUGUUAGCAGGUUUAGUGGAGGAAGUGAAGAGGAGUGGACUCCAAGCUGCUCCUGGUGGUUCCUCUGAGGCUGGACCUGAAGAUGUGGUCUGUGAUUUCUGCAGUGGGAGAAAACUGAAAGCUGUCAAGUCCUGUCUGGUCUGUUUGAUCUCAUUUUGUGAAAAACACCUCCAGCCUCAUUAUGAAUCUCCUGCCUAUGCUAAACACAAGCUGGUGGAGCCCUCCAAGAAGCUCCAGGAGAACAUCUGCUCUCGUCAUGAUGAGGUGAUGAAGAUGUUCUGUCGCACUGAUCAACAGUCUAUCUGUCAUCUCUGCUCUGUGGACCAACACAAAGGCCACGACACAGUCUCAGCUGCAGCAGAAAGGACUGAGAGGCAGAAAGAUCUGGAGGAGGGUCGAGAAAACAUCCAGCAGAGAAUCCAGGACAGAGAAGAAGAUGUGAAGCUGUUCCAACAGGAGGUGGAGGCUAUCAACGGCUCUGCUGAUAAAGCUGUGGAGCACAGCCAGGAGAUCUUCAGACAGCUGAUCCGUCUGAUGGAGAAACGCCGCUCUGAGGUGGAGCAGCAGGUCAGAUCCCAGCAGGAACGUGAAGUGAGUCGAGUCAAAGAGCUUCAGGAGAAACUGGAGCAGGAGAUCACUGAGCUGAAGAGGAGAGACGCUGAUCUGCAGAAGCUCUCACUCACAGAGGACCACAACCAGUUUCUGCACAGCUACCCCUCACUGUCAGAACCGGGUCAACCUGCAGACUCAUCCAGGAUCAACAUCCGUCCUCUGAGAUACUUUGAGGAGGUGACAGCAGCUGUGUCAGAGGUCAGAGAGAAACUCCAGGAUCUUCUGACAGAGACGUGGACAAACGUCUCACAGGCCGUGACUGAUGUGGAUGUUUUACUGUUAGAACCACCAGGACCAGCAGAACCCAAGACCAGAGCUGGUUUCUUAAGAUAUUCACAAAGAAUCACACUGGAUCCAAACACAGCAUGCAGAGAGCUGAUAUUAUCUGAUGGAAACAGAAGAGCAACAAGGACAAAACAACAACCACAGUCUUAUCCUAAACAUCCAGACAGAUUCACUGAUUAUGUUCAGGUCCUGAGUAGAGAGAGUCUGACUGGACGUUGUUACUGGGAGGUGGACUGGAGAGGGUUCGGGGUUUGGGUAGCAGUCACAUACAAGACUAUCAGGAGAGACGGGAACUCAGAUGAUGGUAUAUUUGGAAAAAAUGACAAAUCUUGGAGGUUAUUCUGUUCUAAAGACAGUUAUAGUUUUGAUCACAACAAAGUCCUCACUCCUGUCUCAGGUCCUCCGUCCUCCAGAGUAGGAGUGUACCUGGAUCACAGCGCAGGUAUUCUGUCCUUCUACAGCGUCUCUGAAACCAUGACUCUCCUCCACAGAGUCCAGACCACAUUCACUGAACCUCUACAUGCUGGACUGAGGUUAGACUGGUUUGGAGACUCUGCUGAGUUUAUAGAAGUGAACUAAAGAGAAUUUUGAGUCCAUCAGACCAAAAUCAUGGACUGAGAUCCUUGAACUCUUGAAAUGUUCUGGUUUGUAAAUGUUUGUGGAUCAGUCUCACCAAAAACUCUGGGUUUAGUUCUUCAUUUCAGCUUUUUGAUUCUUUUCUAAAGAUGCUGAUUUGGUCGCAGCUUUAAGGACAGUGAUUGUGGAGAACUUUGAUUGUUUGUAUUUCUCAUGUUGAAAAAUCUUCAUACAGUUUGAUAUCAACAACAUCAAGAUGAUGGUUUGUUCAAAUCACCUUCAGUUGGUGCAGAUGUUGAAGGUCUGAGACUUUAGAAAAAAGUGAGGUCAAAAUCACAGAAAAAGGACGACCUUAUUUCCUGUCCCAAAUCCAAGCGUCUAAAGUCUUUCCAGUCGUCCCCAAAAACUCUUCAGAUGAUCUGUUUCUUUCUCUGUUUGCUGAAUAUUUGUGUUCAUGUGAUCGAUGGAUAUUUCUGUCUGCUUCUGUUGGAUCAGUGUGUUUGUAAAGACAUCUAGAAUCAGACUUUGGACAGAUCUACAUGUUGUUAUGAGCUUUUCAAUCACUCUAAUAAUAAUAAUCACAUUUAUUAGUCCGGCUGUUUGGAUGUUUCUGACUCAGCUCAGAUUGUGGUCAAGUCUCUGAUUGUGGGUAAAAAAAAUCAUAAAAAUCCUCAAACUGAGUCACUGAAAUCACCUCGUCUGUUUGUCUUUAUUGUGUCUGUUUCUGCUGGAUGUCAUGUUACCGCUCCGUCUGGGUCAUGGAUCCAUGUGGUCUUACAUGUCCCAGAUGUGAGUCCUGCAGCUGGAUCAGGUUUUCUGUAGAGGACAAAGACAGGAGGCAGGUUGUGUGUCUUUUUGAUUUGAUGUAACCAGACUAGUCCUGUUGAGAUCAUCAAUCUCUUUUUCAGGGGGGGUCCUGACCAAGAAUGGCAGCAAAAAACAAACACACUCAGACUCACACAGAUCCACAUCAGCAACAAGAACUCAGUGUUCAUAUGAGAGAGUCCAGCUGAUCUCUAGUCUAAGGAAAGAAGUCUGGACCACAAGAAGAAAACCGACUUAAAGGUGGAGUAGACAGGAAUCUGUUAAAGAAGCAUCUUUUUAUUUUGUGGUUUUUAUACAAAAAUCUUUUAAUAUCAGUCAAUAGUUAUUAGUUAUUGAUGACAUUUGGUAAUAUAUCUAUAUCUCUGUGUUCUCUUAUGUCUGUGUCGUCAACAUUUGAACAUUUUUGAGCGGUCCGCUCUUUCUGACUGUAAACAAAGCCGUUCUCCACCUCCUCUAACCUGAUUGGUUGUGAGGCAGACGCUGCUCCUAAGUGCUGCGUUUGAGUUUCCUCGGAAGUCAGAAGUCGGAGCUGAGAAUGACGUCACACACAAGUUCCCAGCAUUUCAGUUAAAAAUAACCAAACUAAGUGGCCCAAUAAUCGGACAAGGCAAGCACUAAAAUAACUUUCGGAGAUGUAGCCAUCUUGUUUCCACCUCCGAUUUUGCUUUUUUCGGACUUCGUAACUGAAAUGCUGAUAACUUGGGUGUGACGUCAUUUAAAGCUCCAACUUCAGGAAUAACGGGCGCUUAAAACGGAGGUAGACCGGACAAGAGCUAAAAAGCCGGGUCAACAUAAACGAUGGGGGACGCUUGGGGAUCUUGGUGACCCUGUAACCUUUCUGCUGGACAGGUAAACCGCUUUAACAAAGUAAGACAAGUGUCUGUAACAGAAGUGUUUCUUGUCAAACGGACCUGCUGUAGCGUGUUGUAGCGCCAUCGCUAAACUGUCCUCCCUCGGGUCCUGGACUAUGUCACUUUAUCCUAGUUGUAGAAGUCCUGCAAACAUUGUGUUUGCUGGUAGUCUGUUGGCAUCUACAGUAGCACCAAUGCUUUUGACUUUCACCUUGACUGGGCCCCAUUUGUAAUGAUCUGAAGUAUUUAUCUGCAUUAUAUCUGAAUUUAACUGGAACGAUACGAGCGAGCAGGAGCGUCUGUUUGAGAU